AGCAGCCGCGGUAAUUCCAGCUCCAAUAGCGUAUAUUAAAGUUGUUGCAGUUAAAAAGCUCGUAGUUGAAUUUCGGGAUUGACGUGACGGUCAUGCCUUAAGGGGUAUGAACUGUUACAGUUGAUUUCUCACCUUCUGGAGAAACUUGAUGUCCUUUAUUGGGUGUCUUGCGGAUCCAGGACCUUUACCUUGAAAAAAUUAGAGUGUUUAAAGCAGGCAUUUUUGCUCGAAUACAUUAGCAUGGAAUAAUAGAAUAGGACGGCAUGGUUCUAUUUUGUUGGUUUCUAGGAUCACCGUAAUGAUUAAUAGGGAUAGUUGGGGGCAUUAGUAUUCAAUUGUCAGAGGUGAAAUUCUUGGAUUUAUUGAAGACUAACUACUGCGAAAGCAUUUGCCAAGGAUGUUUUCAUUAAUCAAGAACGAAAGUUAGGGGAUCGAAGACGAUCAGAUACCGUCGUAGUCUUAACCAUAAACUAUGCCGACUAGGAAUCAGACGAUGUUAAUUUUUAAUGACUCGUUUUGG
rnacentral:rRNA from 1 species